GCCUGGGUGGCUCAGUAGGUUGAGCGUCCGACUUCAGCUCAGAUCAUGAUCUCACAGUUCAUGGGUUUGAGCCCCAUGUCAGGCU
rnacentral:tRNA from 1 species